UCGUGGUCCGCGCGUUCCAACGAUCUCUCUCAACCUGAUGGAAAUCGCGGGAAACGGGAUUUUUUUCGCGGGAGGGGAGUUCUUUGGAAAAUUUAUCUUGUAUCUUUUUCACGGUCAUUGUUCGAAGAUCUAUCGGAGAAGACGUGUCUUUUAUUUUGCUACGCGUUUUCGUUUAAAGGUCGCUCGAGUUUCGGCCUCCCUUCCAAGCUCGUCCAUGGAGGGAAUAACGUGUCCAGUGUUUCGAAGGCCCUUGAAAUUUUCUUGGCGAACGCACCCUUUCUUCGCGUGGACUGCGAAGUGAGCGCCGGUCCCACGACCGACGAGGAAUCGACACUCGCAUCGGUUACGUUUCGAGGGUGCGAUCUCCCCUCGAGUUUUUCGAGAGGAGAGGAGGAGGGGCGUGCAAUGGUCGAGAGCCUCCUUGACAAGGUUCCGGUAGAUACAACAGACAGUGGAUCAUUGGAUCGUGCAAUGGAUUUCUGCAAUACCAACCGAUCACUUUUUUAAAUCAGUGAUAUUCUCAUUCCAUGAAGAGAGAAGAAGAUGCGUUAUGAAUUAUAUUUCAUAAGGAUAUUAGAAUAAUUGUUCUAUGACAAAUUAUAAAAAUUAUUAAUUAUUUUUAA